rnacentral:rRNA from 1 species
UAAUACGGAGGGGGCAAGCGUUGUUCGGAAUUAUUGGGCGUAAAGCGUAUGUAGGCGGUUAAACAAGUCAGGCGUGCAAGCCCGUGGUUCAACCACGGAAUUGCGUUUGAAACUGUUUAACUUGAGUACAGGAGAGGAAAGCGGAAUUCCCAGUGUAGCGGUGAAAUGCAUUGAUAUUGGGAAGAACAUCUGUGGCGAAGGCGGCUUUCUGGUCUGUUACUGACGCUGAGAUACGAAAGCCAGGGUAGCGAACGGGAUUAGAUACCCCGGUAGUCCUGGCUGUAAACGAUGGGCACUAGGUGCAGGAGGUAUCGAUCCCCUCUGUGCCGUAGCUAACGCGUUAAGUGCCCCGCCUGGGGAGUACGGUCGCAAGGCUG